rnacentral:rRNA from 1 species
CCUACGGGAGGCAGCAGUGAGGAAUAUUGGUCAAUGGUCGGGAGACUGAACCAGCCAAGCCGCGUGAGGGAGGAAGGUACAGAGUAUCGUAAACCUCUUUUGUCAGGGAACAAAGACUGGGACGCGUCCCCGGAUGAGUGUACCUGAAGAAAAAGCAUCGGCUAACUCCGUGCCAGCGGCCGCGGUAAUACGGAGGAUGCGAGCGUUAUCCGGAUUUAUUGGGUUUAAAGGGUGCGCAGGCGGUCUGUUAAGUCAGCGGUCAAAGCCCGGGGCUCACCCGCGGCCCGCCGUUGAAACUGGCAGUCUCGAGUUGGAGAGAAGUAUGCGGAAUGCGCGGUGUAGCGGUGAAAUGCAUAGAUAUCGCGCAGAACUCCGAUUGCGAAGGCAGCAUGCUGCAGCGGAACUGACGCUGAUGCUCGAAAGCGCGGGUAUCGAACAGGAUUAGAUACCCUUGUAGUC